AAGCCAAUAAAAAUCCACGGAAACGUGACAUGUAGCCUAUCGAGAGACGGCAUUUUAAAACAAAACAGAGACUAUUAUGUAAUUCAGGUACGCACCGGGUUGCCUUAACAACAAAGGUUUUAGUUCAUUGCCUGCACCCAUCUGCACAGGAAAGGGAAUCCUCCCUUCAGUGGAAUGUACGAAACCACUGAACCUGAGGUUGGUGACUGCUCCAUUGUUGGACAAUUUGUAAAUACUCUAGCCGAUCAAAGACCUGAACAAACAUCCACCCUAGACAUUCAGACACGGGGUGUAGACCGCUACCACAAGACCUUAAGAUUCUUAAGAUGUGGCUGAUGGUGGUGAUGGGGUCGAGGCCUGGCAUGAUGGCCAGAGAAAAGUGCAGUCAGUGUGGGAGGAGUGGGUGACCGUUAACCUUUCCACGAAACUGAACUGUGACCCCUAUGAUUUGCCUGAAGGUGAUGGCCUGAGCAACCCCCGCCCCCGUUAAAACGUGCUGAGGCCCCUGCAGUGAGUGGAAGGAAAUCCCAUCAGACAAGCCCAGUCUUUUAAGGAAUAACAAAGCUACUCAUCCGAACCUGUGGCUGUGCAUGCGAGACAUCAGCAAUACCAUCUUAUUUUAUUUUGUUAUUAUAUGUUACAUUCAUAAAACUUGCGUUAAAAAGAUCAUUAGCCUAGUUAUACACUACCAUUCAAAAGUCUGGGGUCAGUAAGAUUUAUGUGUUUUAAAUGUUUUAAAAUUUCUUAUUCUCACCAAAGUUGUGUUUAUUUGAGCAAACA